CCUACGGGUGGCUGCAGUGGGGAAUAUUGCACAAUGGAGGAAACUCUGAUGCAGCGACGCCGCGUGAAGGAUGAAGUAUUUCGGUAUGUAAACUUCUAUCAGCAGGGAAGAAAAUGACGGUACCUGACUAAGAAGCCCCGGCUAACUACGUGCCAGCAGCCGCGGUAAUACGUAGGGGGCAAGCGUUAUCCGGAUUUACUGGGUGUAAAGGGAGCGUAGACGGCACGGCAAGCCAGAUGUGAAAGCCCGGGGCUCAACCCCGGGACUGCAUUUGGAACUGCUGAGCUAGAGUGUCGGAGAGGCAAGUGGAAUUCCUAGUGUAGCGGUGAAAUGCGUAGAUAUUAGGAGGAACACCAGUGGCGAAGGCGGCUUGCUGGACGAUGACUGACGUUGAGGCUCGAAAGCGUGGGGAGCAAACAGGAUUAGAUACCCCGGUAGUCAUA
rnacentral:rRNA from 1 species